rnacentral:rRNA from 1 species
UACGUAGGGUGCGAGCGUUAAUCGGAAUUACUGGGCGUAAAGCGUGCGCAGGCGGUGAUGUAAGACAGAUGUGAAAUCCCCGGGCUCAACCUGGGAACUGCAUUUGUGACUGCAUCGCUGGAGUGCGGCAGAGGGGGAUGGAAUUCCGCGUGUAGCAGUGAAAUGCGUAGAUAUGCGGAGGAACACCGAUGGCGAAGGCAAUCCCCUGGGCCUGCACUGACGCUCAUGCACGAAAUCGUCGGGAGCAAACAGG